rnacentral:lncRNA from 1 species
UUGAAUACUUUGAUGGCUUUUGACCAUGGCCUUCCUUAAUGAUUUGCUUUUUUACUUUUUCAUGAAGAAUUUCCAUAUCAGAUUCAACUUUCGGAGGUCCAGCAGCAUCUUGAGGUGGUUCCCCAUGCACAAAUGCAGUAUUUUCAGUAACUAUUUCAUUCUCAUCAACAAUUUCCAUAUCAGAUUCAACUUUCGGAGGUCCAGCAGCAUCUUGAGGUGGUUUCCCAUGCACAAAUGCAGUAUUUUCAGUACCUAUUUCAUUCUUAUCAUCUUCACCUGAGAUGAACAUACUUAUAAACUUCGUUACCCGGACUCGGCAAUUUGGGGUGCAGUACCUGUGCCGACACGGGAUACGGGUCAGAUCCGGAAAAGAACCAGCGGAAUCGACG